AUUUUCUGUGUAAGGCAGGAGAUUGUAUGCAGCGUUUUACUGACAUAUAACCAAUUUUUUAAGUAUGUUUAAUGGGAAUAAAAAAAUGUGUAUACUUCAGUGUGCUCUAGGGAUAUUGAUUUACUGCACAAAGAUUCCUGAGCUUUUAAAUAUGAAGAUCUUUAUAAUUCAGCAGCUGAAGAGUUCAUACAACAACUGCAUUACCAAUGAAGUGUAAUAAAAAGAACACAUCUGCCUAAUAAGCCCAAAUUGUCUACAUGAUGGGUAUCAAUUGUCCUGCAGGAGCAGAAGCUUUGAAAAGUUAUAUGUUAGUACUCAAUUUUAAAAAGCCUCAGAAGCCUCUGUACUACAUAGCUCACAAGGAUGGGUUUCAGUCUGCUGGAAGCUGCAGUGCAUUUUCCCAGACCUGCCCAGGAGCAGCCACCUGGCCCCCACAAACUGCACCAAUUCUCUGCUGUGGCCAAGGCACUGGCCUUGGUCUGCAGACAGACCUUCAGAAGUGUUCCUCUAGGGGACAAUGCCACAUCGCUGCUACACAUGGGAAAAUUAAUUUUCCUCCAAGUCUCCAGUCAGGGAGUUUGCCUGAGGUCACAAGUUAGUCUCUGAAGUGGAGUUAAACUACAGAAGAGUAACAUGAUCAGGCCUCAAAGACGAAUCUGAUGACAUGCUAUUGACACUUUUUAAUCAGAAACGCUGAGAACAGCCCUGAGUGAGUGUCCCUGUCACUCGUGAGCUAGAGGUGUCUGUGCAUGCACAGCUGUUGAUGUCCUUAAAGACUUUGAAAGGUAUUUUAGGUUUCCCAUGAAAAUAAAAUGAAAAAAAUAUCAGCUAAAAGGAAUAAUUAACACUUUCACCACUGAAAUAUUCUUGAACAAAAAUGUAAGGCUAUAACUGUCUGAAACCUGAAUUACUGGCAUCUGAAAAUUGCUGUUUAUAAAAGUAUAAAUGUCAGAAGUUAGUGUCAUAAUGCUACAGAUUUUUCUUCAAGUUAUGUUUAUGUUUGUACUUUAUGUUAUGACCUGGCAUUAAAUACCAAUAACAUAAUGGCAUAAUAAUUCAACUGUUUUAGCAUUUUUUUGAAAAUAAUUGAAAACAUGUACCAUUAAAAAUAUAAUAAUUAUUGAUAUGCCAUAUCGUCUUUUUAAGAUGAAACUAUUCCCUUAUUUUGUUAUAAUAUAAUUUGCUUCUUUUAAUGCUACUCAUCUUAUGUACCAGCAGCUGAAAAAAAUUUGCUGGUUUUGAGACUAAUCUCCUUGAUGUGAUUUUCUUUCUCUACUCAGUACAGAGGGAACAUAGAGGAAAAAAUAGGAUAGAUAGAUUCUUAAAAUGACUUGAAUUCCCACAGAUAAUUUCACAAAACCCUGUGCUUUCCUUCAGUACAAUAGGAAUAGUAGUAUCAGCUUUGCAAAGCCUUGGAAAAUCAGUGUAUAUUCACAGCAUCUUCAAACCAUGGAAGGAAGGAAGGAAGGAAGGAAGGAAGGAAGGAAGGAAGGAAGGAAGGAAGGAAGGAAGGAAGGAAGGAAGGAAGGAAUCUAUCCAUCUAAAGAAUGGUGUGAGGGUAAAGGA